rnacentral:rRNA from 1 species
AAAGAAAUCAACCGAGAUUGCGCUAGUAGCGGCGAGCGAAUGCGCAGCAGCCUAAUGCUUGAUAACCAUAUCAACAGUAGAGCGGUCUGGAAAGGCCGGCCAAAGAGGGUGAUAGCCCCGUAUAUGAAAUUGAUGUGGUGGUACUAAGGGCAUGAGAAGUAGAGCGGGACACGUGACAUCCUGCUCGAAGAUGGGGGGACCAUCCUCCAAGGCUAAAUACUCGUAAUCGACCGAUAGUGAACCAGUACCGUGAGGGAAAGGCGAAAAGAACCCCGGGAGGGGAGUGAAAUAGAAUCUGAAACCGCAUACAUACAAACAGUAGGAGCCCGCAAGGGUGACUGCGUACCUUUUGCAUAAUGGGUCAGCGACUUACGUUCAGUAGCGAGCUUAACCGAGUAGGGGAGGCGUAGCGAAAGCGAGUUCGAAUAGAGCGAGUAGUUGCUGGGCGUAGACCCGAAACCGGAUGAUCUAUCCAUGACCAGGUUGAAGGUGUGGUAACACACACUGGAGGACCGAACCGACUAGUGUUGCAAAAUUAGCGGAUGAGUUGUGGAUAGGGGUGAAAGGCUAAACAAAUCCGGAGAUAGCUGGUUCUCCCCGAAAACUAUUGAGGUAGUGCCUCGCGUAUCACUCCAGGGGGUAGAGCACUGUUAUGGCUAGGGGGACAUGGCGUCUUACCAAACCAUGGCAAACUCCGAAUACUUGGAAGUGUGAGCGCGGGAGACAGAGCACCGGGUGCUAACGUCCGGACUCAAAAGGGAAACAACCCAGACCGCCGGCUAAGGUCCCUAAUAUUUGCUAAGUGGAAAACGAAGUGGAAAGGCUAAGACAGUCAGGAAGUUGGCUUAGAAGCAGCCAUCCUUUAAAGAAAGCGUAAUAGCUCACUGAUCGAGUCUUUCUGCGCGGAAGAUGUAACGGGGCUAAGCAAGUAACCGAAGCCGCGGAUUCAUACAUAAGUAUGAGUGGUAGGGGAGCGUUCUGUAAGCCUGCGAAGGUGUGUUGAGAAGCAUGCUGGAGGUAUCAGAAGUGCGAAUGCUGACAUGAGUAACGUUAAAGCGGGUGAAAAGCCCGCUCGCCGUAAGCCCAAGGUUUCCUGCUCUACGUUCAUCGGAGCAGGGUGAGUCGGCCCCUAAGGCCAGGCUGAGAAGCGUAGUCGAUGGGAACAAGGUUAAUAUUCCUAGACCAUUGUCAAGUAUGCGAUGGGGGGACGGAGUGUGAAAGAUGAUCCGGGUGUUGGAUAUCCCGGUUUGUGAGAGUAGAAGGAGAGCAGGCAAAUCCGCUCUCGAAUCUUCGAGUCAAAACAUCGAUUCUCCACGUGAGAAGAAGUCAUCGGAAGUGCUUCCAAGAAAAGCCUCUAAGUGGUAGCUUGACAAGACCGUACCGCAAACCGACACUGGUGGGCGAGUUGAAUAUACUAAGGCGCUUGAGAGAACUCGGGAGAAGGAACUCGGCAAAUUGACACCGUAACUUCGGAAGAAGGUGUGCCUUUGUAGCGUGAGAGAAGAAACAUCUUAAGCGUGAAGAGGCCUCAGAGAAUAGGUGGCUGCAACUGUUUACUAAAAACAUAGCACUCUGCAAAGAUGAAAGUCGACGUAUAGGGUGUGAUGCCUGCCCGGUGCUGGAAGAUUAAUUGAUGGGGUGCAAGCUCCUGAUCGAAGUCCCAGUAAACGGCGGCCGUAACUAUAACGGUCCUAAGGUAGCGAAAUUCCUUGUCGGGUAAGUUCCGACCUGCACGAAUGGCAUAAUGAUGGCCACACUGUCUCCUCCCGAGACUCAGUGAAGUUGAAGUGUUUGUGAUGAUGCAAUCUCCCCGCGGCUAGACGGAAAGACCCCAUGAACCUUUACUGUAGCUUUACAUUGGACUGUGAACCGAUUUGUGUAGGAUAGGUGGGAGGCAGAGAAACUCGAACGCCAGUUUGAGCGGAGCCAACCUUGAAAUACCACCCUGAUUUGUUUGCGGUUCUAACCUCGGCCCAUGAUCUGGGCUAGGGACCGUGUAUGGUAGGCAGUUUGACUGGGGCGGUCUCCUCCUAAAGGGUAA